UCGAGAAUCUUCCGCAAUGGACGCAAGUCUGACGGAGCGACGCCGCGUGCGGGAUGAAGGCCCUCGGGUUGUAAACCGCUGUCAGUUGGGAGGAAAUGCCAUAGGGCACUCUCUAUGGUUUGACCAAUCUUCAGAGGAAGUCCGGGCUAAGUUCGUGCCAGCAGCCGCGGUAAGACGAACCGGACGAACGUUAUUCGGAAUCACUGGGCUUAAAGGGUACGUAGGCGGCCUUGUAGGUUGGGUGUGAAAUCCCACGGCUCAACCGUGGAACUGCGCUCAAAACCACAGGGCUUGAGGGAAGCAGAGGUAAGCGGAACUGAUGGUGGAGCGGUGAAAUGCGUUGAUAUCAUCAGGAACACCAGUGGCGAAGGCGGCUUACUGGGCUUCUUCUGACGCUGAGGUACGAAAGCUAGGGUAGCGAACGGGAUUAGAUACCCCCGUAGUCC
rnacentral:rRNA from 1 species